rnacentral:misc_RNA from 1 species
UCCCCGUUGCCGGGGCAGUCUGAAUAGAAAAAUACAACUAUUCACAAGGGUUGCGCUCGUUAAUGGACUUAACCAAACAUCUCACGACACGAGCUGACGACGGCCAUGCAUCAUCUGUCACCGAGUUCCCCACACUUACUUCAACGGAUUCUAACAAUAAAUUGUUAGCGUUAAAAUAACUGUGGGGCACUCAAUCCUUUCGGAUUAAUUCUCGGGAUGUCAAACCCUGGUAAGGUUCUUCGUUUAUCAUCGAAUUAAAGAGCACGAUCCACCACUUGUGCGGACCCCCGUCAAUUCCUUUAUGUUUUAGUCUUGCGACCGUACUCCACAGGCGGGAUACUUAACGCGUUAGCUUCGCUACUGAAGGGGUCGAUACCUCCAACAGCUAGUAUCCAUAGUU